AAUAUAACAAAUAUAUCAAAACGUUAACCUAGCGACGGAGUCCUGGUAUCGCGGUCUUAAUUUCAAUAUCAUACACAGCACAGUAAAUCGGCCAAACAAGCGUCUACUUCGCAAAUGUCCCCCACACAGCCACACUGCAACGGUGGCGAUAUAGCAUUAAAAUGGGACACAAUUUUACCGCCACUGUUGCACGUAAAAUUUCUUCGAUUGACUUAUUACAAAUGACUUUCUGGUUCAUUCCAAUGUAACGGCUUCCGUAAUCUAUAAUACGGAUCUAUCAGUAAAUUUAUGAAUUCACAAGUGGUAAUUUUAUGAAAUAAACACUAUUAUCAAUAACGACAGCUCAACUAUGGCUAAAACUACUAUGAAAAUAUUCAUUAAUCUUAAAAUAAAUACAUUUCAUCACAAUUUAAACUAAAUGAUUUUUUUUUCAUAAAACUUCAAUGAAAUAAAAAAUAAUAAAUUUAAUAA